rnacentral:rRNA from 1 species
GACGAACGCUGGCGGCGUGCCUAAUACAUGCAAGUAGGACGCAGUUGCGAACGGGUGAGUAACGCGUAGGUAACUACCUAUUAGAGGGGGAUAACUAUUGGAAACGAUAGCUAAUACCGCAUACUAGUAGAUGGACCUGCGGUGUAUUAGCUAGUAGGUAGGGUAAUGGCCUACCUAGGCAACGAUACAUAGCCGACUUGGAGGGGUGAUCGGCCACACUGGGACUGGGGAACGGCCCAAGCUCCUACGGGAGGCAACAGGAGGGAAACUUCGGCAAUGGGGGGAACCCUGACCGAGCAACGCCGCGUGAGUUAAGAAGGUUUUCGGAUCGUAAAGCUCUGUUGUGAAGGAAGCGGUACUUAACCAGAAAGGGACGGCUAACUACGUGCCAGCAGCCGCGGUAAUUC